UCGGGUCUUUCUUGUCUCUGCUUGCAGUUCUUACCACAUGUGUUGCACAGAUUAUGACAAACACCAUUCAGAAAAAGUUCAAAGUUUCUUCAACACAACUUCUAUACCAAUCUUGUCCUUAUCAGGCAUUAACUCUGUUCAUCGCUGGCCCAUUUCUGGAUUGGUGUCUAACUGAUCUAAAUGUUUUUGCUUUCAAAUACACUCCCCAAGUGCUGUUCUUUAUCGUACUCUCCUGCCUUAUUUCUGUGUCAGUCAACUUCAGUACCUUUCUGGUUAUUGGAAAGACUUCUGCAGUUACAUAUCAGGUCCUAGGACAUCUAAAAACUUGUUUAGUUUUGGCGUUUGGGUAUGUUCUGCUUCACGACCCAUUUAGCUGGCGGAACAUUUUGGGAAUCUUGGUUGCCAUAGUUGGAAUGGUUCUCUAUUCCUAUUGCUGCACCCUCGAGAGCCAACAGAAGUCUAAUGAAGUAUCAUCAGCACAACUAUCCCAGGUGAAGGAAAGUGAAUCCGAUCCCCUAAUAAGUGUUGAAAAUGGAACGGCAAUCUUAGGGGACGGUGUGGGGCCUAAAGCUCCAGCUUGGAG
rnacentral:misc_RNA from 1 species